rnacentral:rRNA from 1 species
UACAGAGGGGGCAAGCGUUAUUCGGAAUUAUUGGGCGUAAAGGGCGCGUAGGCGGCAUGGCAAGUGGAUGGUGAAAUCCCUCGGCUUAACCGAGGAACUGCCGUCCAAACUGCCUCGCUUGAGACCGGGAGAGGUGAGUGGAAUUCCCAGUGUAGCGGUGAAAUGCGUAGAUAUUGGGAGGAACACCAGUGGCGAAGGCGGCUCACUGGACCGGUACUGACGCUGAUGCGCGAAAGCGUGGGGGAGCAAACGGGG